UACGUAGGGUGCAGGCGUUAAUCGGAAUUACUGGGCGUAAAGCGUGCGCAGGCGGUCUUUUAAGUCAGAUGUGAAAUCCCCGGGCUUAACCUGGGAACUGCGUUUGAAACUGGAAGGCUUGAGUGUGGCAGAGGGGGGUGGAAUUCCACGUGUAGCAGUGAAAUGCGUAGAGAUGUGGAGGAACACCGAUGGCGAAGGCAGCCCUCUGGGCCAACACUGACGCUCAGGCACGAAAGCGUGGGGAGCAAACAGG
rnacentral:rRNA from 1 species